GUUCGUCGGUGGCUCGGCGGACUGAGUGGUUCAGCGUGAAGGACAGGGCCGGGGCUGGCCUAGUGUCGCCUCGAAACCAUGGCAAACUACACGUACACCACCAACAUCAUGGACCUAGCGGGUCUGCAAGACCUUAGGAAACACUCUGUCAUCGAACCUAGAAUCACCAUCAAAGAGUUAACAAUUAACUUCAACGAUAUCAUAGAAGGAAAGGAUGAGUGGAGUGUGCAAGACAAAAUUUCUCAAAAGGUUUUACGCAAAUUGCUGGAUCAUAUUGUGUUAC